GUGGGGAAUAUUGCACAAUGGGGGAAACCCUGAUGCAGCCAUGCCGCGUGUGUGAAGAAGGCCUUCGGGUUGUAAAGCACUUUCAGUAGGGAGGAAGGGGUGAUGACUAAUAUCCAGCAUCUGUGACGUUACUCGCAGAAGAAGCACCGGCUAACUCCGUGCCAGCAGCCGCGGUAAUACGGAGGGUGCAAGCGUUAAUCGGAAUUACUGGGCGUAAAGCGCACGCAGGCGGUUAGAUAAGUCAGAUGUGAAAGCCCCGGGCUCAACCUGGGAACUGCAUUCGAAACUGGCAGGCUAGAGUCUUGUAGAGGGGGGUAGAAUUCCAGGUGUAGCGGUGAAAUGCGUAGAGAUCUGGAGGAAUACCGGUGGCGAAGGCGGCCCCCUGGACAAAGACUGACGCUCAGGUGCGAAAGCGUGGGGAGCAAACGGGAUUAGAUACCCUAGUAGUCC
rnacentral:rRNA from 1 species